GUGCUUACGUUGGCAGCACACAUAUUAAAAUUGAAACAAUACAGAGAAGACUAACAUGACCCCUGCACAAGGAUGACACUCAAAUUCUUGAAGUGUCCCAUAUUUUC
ensembl:snRNA U6 U6 spliceosomal RNA